CAAAAGAGCCAAAAUAGUGCGAGUGAAAAUGAAAUUAUUUGAGUGAGAAUGAAGUAAAAAGAGGUGGGAGUGGUCCUGCAUAAAAGUACUAAGUAAAAAGUUGUUCUGAAAACAUUGGUGUAUAAGGCAGGUCAUGGUCAAUAAGUUCUAAGAUUCACAGUUUACUGUGUUUUUGACACUUGAUUCCCUCAGGGAGAAAAUCUUCACCAAGAACAACAACAGCUGAACUGAACCCAAAACAAAAAAUUGUUAAAAACUAAAAAACCAUAGACCAGAAUGUAAACCAGUAUAUAUUAUUACUGAGGGUCUUUCUUGGUCUCCUCCCCCUGUGUCUCCAGGCUACAGACAUCCAUCACCGACCACAGUAGCACGAACCGUGAGGAUCCUUCACACGUUGCUGGCUCUCAUUAGCAAAAACCUCAAAUGUGACAAGUUUGAGGUCAACAUACAGAGCGUGGCCUAUCUGGCUGCGCUGCUCACCGUGUCUGAGGAGGUGCGGAGUCGUUGCAGUCUGAAACACAGGAAGUCACUUCUCAUCUCUGACCUGUCCAUGGACCCGGUUCCCAUGGAAACCUACUCCAGUCACAUUACUGACCCCAGCUGCAGAACCCUGAGAGAGACUCAGCCCUGGACUUCACCGCAGGUUUCGGACCGCUACCUGUCAGCCCACCCCUACCCCACAGUGGGCCAGAUCAGUCCACGGACACGGAAGUCCAUGAGUCUUGACAUGGGUCAGCCCUCACAGGCCAACACCAAGAAGCUUCUGGGUAUUUUUUCCUUAAACUCC